rnacentral:rRNA from 1 species
AUUGAACGCUGGCGGCAGGCCUAACACAUGCAAGUCGAGCGGAUGAAGGGAGCUUGCUCCUGGAUUCAGCGGCGGACGGGUGAGUAAUGCCUAGGAAUCUGCCUGGUCGUGGGGGAUAACGUCCGUACACGGGCGCUAAUACCGCAUACGUCCUGAGGGAGAAAGUGGGGGAUCUUCGGACCUCACGCUAUCAGAUGAGCCUAGGUCGGAUUAGCUAGUUGGUGGGGUAAAGGCCUACCAAGGCGACGAUCCGUAACUGGUCUGAGAGGAUGAUCAGUCACACUGGAACUGAGACACGGUCCAGACUCCUACGGGAGGCAGCAGUGGGGAAUAUUGGACAAUGGGCGAAAGCCUGAUCCAGCCAUGCCGCGUGUGUGAAGAAGGUCUUCGGAUUGUAAAGCACUUUAAGUUGGGAGGAAGGGAAGUAAGUUAAUACCUUGCUGUUUUGACGUUACCAACAGAAUAAGCACCGGCUAACUUCGUG